rnacentral:rRNA from 1 species
AGUAACGCGUGAGCAAACUGCCUUAUACAGGGGGAUAACACUUAGAAAUAGGUGCUAAUACCGCAUAAGACCACAACUCGGCAUCGAGAAGAGGUUAAAGGAGAAAUCCGGUAUAAGAGGUGCUUGCGUUUCAUUAGCUAGUUGGUGAGGGUAAUGGCCCACCAAGGCGACGAUGAAUAGCCGAUCUGAGAGGAUGAACGGCCACACUGGAACUGAGAAACGGUCCAGACUCC